rnacentral:lncRNA from 1 species
AACUAUAUUGAUUUCCUUCCGUGAUGAGUCUCUGAGACCUAGUUUUGGCAGAAGGAAGUACCAGAGGGAGCUGAGCUGUUGAACAUUAUGUGCGAUCGUGUAAUAGCUGCAAUCGGAAGGGAAACACUCAGAGUCCUGGAGAAAGAGAAAUUUGCGUUUGUGGACGCCUACUGGGAGCUAGGCACUUUCAAAUAGUUCCUGUCACCUAACUUAAAAUUUCAUAUUCAAAGGCCAUCAUCAGCUCUCUUGUUAGAAGGGGUCCAGGCUGAACACCCUCUUUUCUCUCAAUGAUCCCAGCUACGACACAGUUUUCUGACCUUCAACAUCCUGGAGGCCCAAGACUAUUCAAAUAUGUCACAAAUAUCUCUAAUCACAUCUUGUGAUUAUGAUUUGGAUAGAAGAUAAACACUAUUUCCAUAAUGAUGAAUGUAAGACAUUUGA